AUACUUGCGUCAGCAGCACAUAAACUAAAACCGGAACGAUACAGAAAAGAUUAGCAUGGCCUCUGCACAAGGGUGACAUGCAAAUUCGUGAAGCAUUCCAUUUUUUU
rnacentral:snRNA from 1 species